GCGUGACUAGCUCUUGGGUUCUCAGACAGCUUGGUUUAGGUCAUUCUUGAUGAGGUCCAAAAUGAACAAGUUGUUUAAAGUGAUAUUGCUCUGGACACUUAUCUACAUCCAAGAAUGCAGAGGGCAGUACACAGUGACUCAGACUCCAUCAGUGUUACCUGCUGCUCCUGGACAAACAGUCUCCCUGAACUGUAAAGUCAGCAGUAAUGUUGCUAACAACAACUAUCUGAACUGGUACCAUCAGGUAUCUGGAGAGCCUCCUAAACUCCUGAUUUACUAUGCCAGCACUCUGCAGUCAGGCACUCCAUCUAGAUUCAGUGGCAGUGGAUCUGGAAGUGCUUUCACUCUGACCAUCAGUGGAGUCCAGACUGAAGAUGCAGGAGAUUACUACUGUCAGAGUGCCCAUGUUACCAGUGUGUGGGUGUUCACACAGUGAUACAGAGCCGUACAAAAACCUCCCUCUGUGAGAGUACACAUGACUGCACUGCUGCAGAAGAGACUUUCAGCAGGUGUGACGUGGUUUCUCAUUAGAGUCAUACUUGUACAUUUGUCACUUCUCAUUACCAAGAUAUUUACAAUAUUAACAUAUAUUUUGUUUAUUUUUUUCAAAUGCGGUUUGAACAUAAAGAUGAAGUAAUUUUACUUGAACCGUUUGUGUCUUCAACAUAUGUUACAUUUAUAUUGACACAAUAAUACACAAACAUGUUUUCGAAAAAUGCACAAUAAAGUGC